CUCCCUGCCCGCCGCGCGUAGCUGCUGCCCGGACUCCUCCCGCCUGCUCUCUGUCUCCGUCGCAUGGGACCGCCGCCCCGGGGAUGUCUCCGGCACGGGCUCCGCGGAGAUCCCGGUCCACCUCGCCACCGAAUCGCGCGGCCGGCACAAGGUCAUGGCCUUCGUUGGGAUCUUGACCGGGUUCAGCAGUCCUCAAACUUCAUGGCCGCCUUGUUCACUAGUUGAGGGGUCGCUUGAAAUAACUGUCCGCUUGCUCCUGCAGCGGAGUACAUGAGCUUGCCGGCGAGCCAGUACUCGGUGCUAGACGCGGAGCGCAUCGAGCACGCCGACGACUCCACCUUCCGAUGCUACGUAUACCGCUUCCGCUUCUUCGCGCUCGAGGUCUGCCCCGUCCUCCUUGUCCGCGUCGACGAGGAACCCAACGGGCAACGGCUGCUGCAUUCGCCUCCUCUCCUGUAAGGAUACAAUUGACAUGAUUUGCUGUGGGAUGCAGCUUCCAUGGUGAAUAGGGUUUUCUGCAGCAGCACUAAACAAGAUUCAGCUAUUCAACAGCUUACAUCAGAUACUACAAUAGAGUGUCGCUGCAGGUUUGCAUCAUUAUGAACUAUUGAAAAUUGGCAAACUUUAUGCUGGCAAGGAAACCACCAUCCAUUUUUCUCCUUUCUAUCCCAUGCAGUGAAACAGGUACAAGUUUCCUCUUAUCUUCUUAUCUUACAUUACCUAGCAAGCAGUUCCAGAUUAUUUUAUUUUAUGUGCUAGCUUCUCGACGCAUAACAGCAUCAAUAUAGAACUUAACUUUUAGUUCUGCCCCUAUCAGUUUUGUUAAUCGAAGUAAUGUUGUAUAGCUAACCAUGGCUAGCUUUUUCAAUAAAUUGUAAAUGAAUUUGAU